AUAAGAAAAAAGCAAAACAAACAAACAAAAAAAAAAUGGUGGGACUUCCUUAGACUAAAAAGAGGUGAGGAUUUUUUUGUUACUUAAAAUGUAUAUAGCUUUCAUAUUUCAGGAUUUUCUGUUUCAAUAAACACUUCAAUAAAACAAACAAGAAAAAAAGAAUAUCAGUCAACUAAAUAUUGAGCCAGACCAAAAUUACUUAUUAAAUUUUUAGUGGUGGAUGAAUUAAAUACUUUUUCUUUUAGAUUUCACUAUGCGAAGUAAGAGAGUCGACGAGCGGAAAUAGCACCUAAACGCAGCACCAGUACAAUCCUUGGUGAAUGAACGCUUACAUGGCCAUCACAGGCGAAUCAAAAUUGUAGCGGGCCCAAAGCAACACUGGACUCCCUUUCCCCCCUUUGCUCUCUGCUAUGCUGCAGCAAGCUAAGAAUGUCAUGAAUACUCAGGUCAGUUGAUAUGGCCACCAGUGACAGCGGAUAAACAGUUUUCCUGUAAUGGCAGAGAUUAAGGAAUGUGCGUCUUAUUAUGUGAUGAUUCUCCAGCAUCACUGAGACAACAACACUGGGCCAAUCAGAAGAGAGAAGACAGAAACGAUGGAGGAUUCUUCACAAAAUUAAGAAAAUUCUGGGCAAACUCUGACCAUCCUCAUGAGACCAUCUUGAAAAAACAUAGUAUCAUCAGCCAGAGACUUCUUCAAAUUUGCUGUAAUACAGACCGCUACAAAAGAUUCCUGCCAACAGCAAUCAGUCAUCUGCAAUAACUCGUUGAACAAUCUGAAUGAAUGAGCUACAACAACAUUUAAUUUUCCUUUUGGAUUAAUAAAGUAUUUUUGAAUUGAA